UACGUAGGGGGCAAGCGUUAUCCGGAUUCAUUGGGCGUAAAGCGCGCGUAGGCGGCUUGUUAAGCGAGAUGUGAAAUCCGGGGGCUUAACCCGCGGCUUGCAUCUCGAACUGGCAGGCUUGAGUCUGGUAGAGGAAAGUGGAAUUCCCAGUGUAGCGGUGAAAUGCGCAGAUAUUGGGAGGAACACCAGUGGCGAAGGCGGCUUUCUGGGCCACGACUGACGCUGAGGCGCGAAAGCUAGGGGAGCGAACAGGAUUAGAUACCCUGGUAGUCCUAGCCGUAAACGAUGGGCACUAGGUGUGGGGGGUAUAACUCCCUCCGUGCCGCAGCUAACGCAUUAAGUGCCCCGCCUGGGGAGUACGGCCGCAAGGCUAAA
rnacentral:rRNA from 1 species